rnacentral:snRNA from 1 species
UUGCUUUGGCAGCACAUAUACCAAAAUUGGAAUGAUACAGAGAAGAUUAGCAUGGCCCCUGUGCGAGGGUGACACAUAAAUUAAUGAAGUGUUCCAUUAUUUU